rfam:Thermacetogenium phaeum DSM 12270, complete genome.
UCCUUCGGGAGAUGGAAUCUUAAGGAAGCUGGCGGCGAACCUCCGGCCCGACGAACAGGAACCGCAUAGGAGGCUAGCAGCAGUUGGAUGAGCUUGCGAAACAAAGCGAAGUCCUUUAGCGUGCGAUUGCUGAGAGUAAAUUCGGCGGGUAGAUGGAGGGAAAGUCGACGCA